AUCUAGGCAACAGUCUUGCGCCAACUCUUUCUUUCAUUAGAUCUUCUGAUGCUAAAAUAAAUUUCAGCUUUUCUUCUUUCUCCUAGCCAUGUGACACUAUUGAAAAGAUGAUUGCCUGUUUCACCACACCCAACAAUAUGCAAUGUUCACUCCUGCCCCACCCAUUUCAAUCACGUGUUUUUUUCUACUCUUUGCUUUGCUCUCAUUCUCACUGGAAUCUCACUCUAAGUCUGCUAGAUUUUUGACUGAGACUGUAUUUUUUGGAACAUUGAUAAUACAAUUAUUGUAGAUUCAGUUCCUUUUUUGUCCUUCAUUUUUAUUCCUUUCAGUGAUCUCAACUAAACUACUGCUGGAUGAUAUCGUUAGAAGCAUACCGGGCCUCGAUAGGUGUCUUUGCUAGUUAUAGGAGAUCUCUGCUAUCUCAUUCACCAACCAUCAACACUCCAGAUUGAAAACCAGUACAAAUUAGACACCUGCAAAUAUAUGACACCUAUACAUAUAUGAUUUUGCAACAGCACUACACAACUGGAUGGAGGGAAUUAGAAUCAACUGACGCCACUAUAUCAGUUAUGAGGAGAGCUUUUGGUGGAAUGCUCCACCAAAUGUAUCAAAUAGUGACCAUCAUUCCAUAGUUAUACUAUUUUUUAAAAGGCUUGUGAUGAUUUAGUCAGACUGUUUGGGACUACUAAAAGGUCAUACAUGUACAGCAACGUACACCUCCUUGCUGUCCUCCAUUGGCAGACUGGGCUUUCUUCUUGAUUGUUGGCCCUUUCUAUUGACAUCAGAAAAUUUUCAAAGAAGAAUGGCUUCAUCAUUACACCAAUUUUUUUGAUAAGACAGGUUCCUUUAAUUACCAUUUUUCCUGCAAAAGACAUGCUGUAUUUCUUUCAUAUAUUUAAUUCUACUAUAAUACACUGGGAGAGCAUUAGUAGUAAAUUCUACCUGCAAGUAUUUACAAUGACAUGUGAGCUCUUUUUACACUCAACUAGUACAUAUACAUGAUUUAUGCAUGGUUGGUGGAUAUGACAUGGUCCCAUCAUUUACAAAAGCAGAACUAAGGAAGGUUUUCCACCACACCACAAAAGAACACAGUGUGGCGGUUUUUCCAGGGGCAGCUGAGGGACACAGCUCCCCUAAAUCAAAGGCUCUAUUUUGCCACAAUGGCACCAGUCAAAUGGAAGAGGCAACACUCAUGAGGACAAUAAAUGUGAUUAGAUGCAUUGAAAUUCUUCAAAGACCUGUCCUAUGGUUCAAUAUCAGGACUAAAACUUUGGAAGAUGCUAUGAACACUCUACCGCUAUCAGGUGGCAUCACAUAGGGACACUACUAGUGAUGGGAGGGAGAGAAGAGGCAGUGUACUAAUGGAUAGAACUGACCUUGAUCUAAUACCAGAGGAUGUACCUGACCUUGUACAAUCUUUCAGAGAAGAAUAUGUCAGCUUGAGACCCGGACGAUGUAAAGUAGGGAGAAAAAGACUUAAAAGAAGCCUUAUGAUU